CACGUAGGGUGCGAGCGUUGUCCGGAAUUAUUGGGCGUAAAGAGCUCGUAGGCGGUUUGUUGCGUCGGCUGUGAAAUCCCGAGGCUCAACCUCGGGUCUGCAGUCGAUACGGGCAGACUAGAGGUAUGCAGGGGAGAACGGAAUUCCUGGUGUAGCGGUGAAAUGCGCAGAUAUCAGGAGGAACACCGGUGGCGAAGGCGGUUCUCUGGGCCUUACCUGACGCUGAGGAGCGAAAGCGUGGGGAGCAAACAGG
rnacentral:rRNA from 1 species